rnacentral:lncRNA from 1 species
AACACCAAGUUAGGAUCUCUGAUGAGCUUUCUGGCAAGCCAGAGGAAAGGCUUUUCGAAGCUGUAGUUACUUUUGACAUAGCAGUCAUAAUACUGAAAGAUUCUUCUUUCCAUGGAAGAUGAUAGAUUUGCCUCCUGUCCUGAAUAUCCACUUGGUUGCUGCACAGCACAAUGAGGAUGUUUUCGCACAUGUGUACCAGAUCUUCAUGCCCAUUAGGUAUGUUCACGUACGUAACUCUUGAUGUCCCUUGCCUCAAACGUAAUAGCACACCAGGCUUAGAAGUAGUAGCUAUCAGGUUGUCCCCAAACAUUUCCUGGCCGGUUUUGUCCCACACAUUCAAUUUGAUGGAUUGUCUGUUGGUAUGGAGGACAAACAAGUGCACAUCCACACUCAGGGUGGCUAC